CUCUGAUUGGCUGGCCGGAGGCGGAGCGAUUGUCAGGCGGCCCAAUCGGAGCGUGGUUUCCCACGGGCUCCCGCGGCCCCGCCCCCACGGCCUCCGGUGGAGGCUCCCCUGGCAGCUCCCAUUGGCUGCCGGCGAGCGGUCCAGAGCUCGGCGGGGCACAUCUGCGCCGCCGCCGUCGGGCGCUCAGCUCUGCAGCGCGGAGAUCGCUUUGGAGCUCUCAGCUCCAGGGCCCCAGCGGCCCCGCAUUGUGCCCGGCGCGGGCGCGGGCGCGGGGAUCUGGGGCGGGCUUUGCAGGUUGAUGGCUGCAUUCCAGAUGUUAACACUGUCAGAAGCUUGACUUCCAUGUGUGCUGGGAAUCGAACUCAGGACCUUGAAUUUGCAAGGUAUUAUGACAAGUACUGGAGAAGGCUUAUGAUCGCCCAGUGGAUGAGACAUGUAUCCGUGCAUACAUGGAUCUGUGCAUACAUGAAGACAGGACUGUAAGGCAGAAGGAGAAGUAUGCAAAACUUAGAAGAGAAAUGCCUGUUGUGUUAGGAUCUGCAGAGGGAGAUCUUUUCUCCUGAUCACUGCCAUAAAUAUUUGAAGAUGAGAUCGGGGUCCUCAAAUUAUUGUCUGCGGACCAAAUCCUGCAGGCUUUCUGGUUUUGUGCAAUCAUUGAAAUACAAAUACUUUUUAUAUUUUUAAAUGGCUGAGAAUUAAAAAAACCCCACAAGGGCAAUAUAGUCAUGUGCCACAAACCAUGUUUCAGUCAGUAAUGGGUCAUACAUUGUUCAGUGGCCCCAUAUAAGAUUUCGUUGUCUGCGAUGUUGUAGCUGGUUUAGUUUGUAUACAUACAUUCUAUGAUGUUUGUACAACGAUGAAGUAGCCUAACGAUGAGUUUCUCAAAAUGUAUCCCCCUCAUUAAGUGAUACACAGCUGUAAUAAUUUGUGCCCUGUGAAAAUAAUAUGAAUUUCAAAUUUCAGUGUUCACAAUAAAGUUUUAUUGGAAC
rnacentral:lncRNA from 1 species